ACUCCUACGGGAGGCAGCAGUAAGGAAUAUUGGUCAAUGGAGGGAACUCUGAACCAGCCAUGCCGCGUGCAGGAAGACAGCCCUCUGGGUCGUAAACUGUCUUUUAUUCGGGAAUAAACCUUUCUACGUGUAGGAAGCUGAAUGUACCGAAGGAAUAAGGAUCGGCUAACUCCGUGCCAGCAGCCGCGGUAAUACGGAGGAUCCAAGCGUUAUCCGGAUUUAUUGGGUUUAAAGGGUGCGUAGGCGGCUUAUUAAGUCAGGGGUGAAAGACGGUGGCUCAACCAUCGCAGUGCCCUUGAUACUGAUGAGCUUGAAUACACUAGAGGUAGGCGGAAUGUGACAAGUAGCGGUGAAAUGCAUAGAUAUGUCACAGAACACCGAUUGCGAAGGCAGCUUACUAUGGUGUUAUUGACGCUGAGGCACGAAAGCGUGGGAUCAAACAGGAUUAGAUACCCCUGGUAGCGACUGA
rnacentral:rRNA from 1 species